UACGUAGGGUGCAAGCGUUUAAUCGGAAUUACUGGGCGUAAAGCGUGCGCAGGCGGUUAUGUAAGACAGGUGUGAAAAUCCCCGGGCUUAACCUGGGAACUGCAUUUGUGACUGCAUAGCUAGAGUACGGUAGAGGGGGAUGGAAUUCCGCGUGUAGCAGUGAAAUGCGUAGAUAUGCGGAGGAACACCGAUGGCGAAGGCAUCCCCUGGACCUG
rnacentral:rRNA from 1 species